GAAGCUGAGCACUCUAGACGAACUGCCGUUGACAAAACGGAGGAAGGUGGGGAUGACGUCAAAUCAUCAUGCCCCUUAUGUUCUGGGCUACACACGUGCUACAAUGGCCGGUACAGACGGAGGCGAAGCCGCGAGGCGGAGCAAAUCCGAAAAAGCCGGUCUCAGUUCGGAUUGCAGGCUGCAAUUCGCCUGCAUGAAGUCGGAAUCGCUAGUAAUCGCAGGUCAGCAUACUGCGGUGAAUACGUUCCCGGGUCUU
rnacentral:rRNA from 1 species